rnacentral:rRNA from 1 species
CCUACGGGUGGCAGCAGUGGGGAAUAUUGGACAAUGGGCGAAAGCCUGAUCCAGCCAUGCCGCGUGUGUGAAGAAGGCCUUCGGGUUGUAAAGCACUUUCAGUGGGGAAGAAAGCCUUGGGGCUAAUACCCUCGAGGAAGGACAUCACCCACAGAAGAAGCACCGGCUAACUCCGUGCCAGCAGCCGCGGUAAUACGGAAGGUGCGAGCGUUAAUCGGAAUUACUGGGCGGAAAGCGCGCGUAGGCGGUCUGAUAAGCCGGUUGGGAAAGCCCCGGGCUCAACCUGGGAACGGCAUCCGGAACUGUCAGGCUAGAGUGCAGGAGAGGAAGGUAGAAUUCCCGGUGUAGCGGUGAAAUGCGUAGAGAUCGGGAGGAAUACCAGUGGCGAAGGCGGCCUUCUGGACCGACACUGACGCUGAGGUGCGAAAGCGUGGGUAGCAAACAGGAUUAGAUACCCCGGUAGUC